rnacentral:rRNA from 1 species
UGAUGUUCUAACGUGGACCCGUAAUCCGGGUUGCGGACAGUGUCUGGUGGGUAGUUUGACUGGGGCGGUCUCCUCCUAAAGAGUAACGGAGGAGCACGAAGGUUGGCUAAUCCUGGUCGGACAUCAGGAGGUUAGUGCAAUGGCAUAAGCCAGCUUGACUGCGAGCGUGACGGCGCGAGCAGGUGCGAAAGCAGGUCAUAGUGAUCCGGUGGUUCUGAAUGGAAGGGCCAUCGCUCAACGGAUAAAAGGUACUCCGGGGAUAACAGGCUGAUACCGCCCAAGAGUUCAUAUCGACGGCGGUGUUUGGCACCUCGAUGUCGGCUCAUCACAUCCUGGGGCUGAAGUAGGUCCCAAGGGUAUGGCUGUUCGCCAUUUAAAGUGGUACGCGAGCUGGGUUUAGAACGUCGUGAGACAGUUCGGUCCCUAUCUGCCGUGGGCGCUGGAGAACUGAGGGGGGCUGCUCCUAGUACGAGAGGACCGGAGUGGACGCAUCACUGGUGUUCGGGUUGUCAUGCCAAUGGCACUGCCCGGUAGCUAAAUGCGGAAGAGAUAAGUGCUGAAAGCAUCUAAGCACGAAACUUGCCCCGAGAUGAGUUCUCCCUGAGACUUAGAGUCUCCUGAAGGAACGUUGAAGACGACGACGUUGAUAGGCCGGGUGUGUAAGCGCAGCGAUGCGUUGAGCUAACCGGUACUAAUGAACCGUGAGGCUUAACCUUACAACGCCGAAG